rnacentral:rRNA from 1 species
AUUGAACGCUGGCGGCGGGCUUAACACAUGCAAGUCGAGCGGGGUGAUGGUGCUUGCACUAUCACUUAGCGGCGGACGGGUGAGUAAUGCUUAGGAAUCUGCCUAUUAGUGGGGGACAACAUCUCGAAAGGGAUGCUAAUACCGCAUACGUCCUACGGGAGAAAGCAGGGGAUCGCUUGUGACCUUGCGCUAAUAGAUGAGCCUAAGUCGGAUUAGCUAGUUGGUGGGGUAAAGGCCUACCAAGGCGACGAUCUGUAGCGGGUCUGAGAGGAUGAUCCGCCACACUGGGACUGAAACACGGCCCAGACUCCUACGGGAGGCAGCAGUGGGGAAUAUUGGACAAUGGGGGGAACCCUGAUCCAGCCAUGCCGCGUGUGUGAAGAAGGCCUUAUGGUUGUAAAGCACUUUAAGCGAGGAGGAGGCUCUUUUGGUUAAUACCCAAGAUGAGUGGACGUUACUCGCAGAAUAAGCACCGGCUAACUCUGUGCCAGCCGCCGCGGUAA